UGCCCUGUGGUGUAACUGGUAACAUCCCUACCUUUGAAGUAGAAGAUUCCAGGUUCAAACCCUGGCAGGGCAG
rnacentral:tRNA from 1 species